GAAAGAAGAUGUUGACAUGUCUCUGAAAAAGGAUGUGUCAGCUCAAUUCAUUUUGGACGAAGCCAAGCAGCAUGGCAAGAACUAAAUAAGCUCUAGAAAAUGCUCUGCUGUCUGUAAUUGCCUCAGUGGGCCACAAGACUUACUGAAGAUGAAGAAAUGCCAUCACCCAGGCUGCAAGCCACUCACAGCAAAUGAAGAUUCCCAGCUAGAAUAGAGCAUGAACACUUAUGCCAAUCUGAGGCCUUAGUUGUCUGUCUCUUCUCCUACAAACUGGAAAUCAUUUUAGCUACUCUAUGUCUACUACUAAACUUGUGAAUGGAGAGGUUGUCAGGAGGUCCAGGACUUAUGUUUUCCCAAAGGAUUUUUAAUAUUUGAAAUUGUAAUCAUGGCUAGUCUGACUUCUAGGACAUUAAUGCCAUAUUGAUAACCUAUUUCAUGUUGUCCUGGGAUAUGGAAGUCUGCAAGGAGAACUAAAAAAGCUCUCCCCUUUGAAGAGUGGUAGGACUAUAGCAAGCCAUAUAAUUUGUUUCUAAAAUGGGUUCUGUGUUAGUUUCCUAUUGCUGCUGUAACAAAUUAUUGCAAACUUAGUGGUU